GGACAAACUAACUUCAAUCUUCUCUGUGUAACAGAUAGGAUAAUGGGACAGUUCAGAGUACAACGCAUUUGUCAUCCCUGGAUUGAGGAUAUCUUGGACUUGUUGGAUGGAGGAAACAUAGUCAGCCAUAGAUGUGAAUAUCCUAACCCUUCAGCUACACUACAUGCGUCGCCAUCAGCAGUGUCCAUGUGACGUUCUACCUGGUACACCAGAACCCAACCACAAAUAAACAUUUCAAUUCAAGAUAGAAAUAAGGUUUUGUGUCAGCCAUUGAGAAUUGACCCUCUGUAGCAGCGCAGUAAGGAUGCAUUGUGGUUAUACCGGCUCUGAUGACCUUCUAGUAGGAGAUGAAAGGUGGGAACCAGGAACAGCACAUAACAGUUUGUGGCCUGGAGGUGAGGGACCUGGCAACAGAGUUGUUAUUCCAAGCUGCUGUGUGUGGAAAGUACUGGCCUCCCGUGAUCCACUUCAGCAAAUUUGAGGCUUUAUUCCUGGGAGCUGGUAGCUAGCUGUACAUGUCCUGCCUUGUGUGUGUGUGUGUUUAAUUUAAGUUCUACAAGUGUUCAGUUGUCAUUGUAAUUGUCCCAUUUCUUUUUAGAAAUCAGUCACAUUUUUGUUUUUAAUUGUGAAUUCAAAUGUAAAUGUGGAUUUUUACAUAA